rnacentral:ncRNA from 1 species
UAUAUUUGCCAUCGCUUUAAUUAGCGAAAUACAUAACAAUCAUUGAAAUAAUAUUAGCAUG